AUGCUCGCUUCGGCAGCACAUACUCUAACAUUGGAACGACACAGAGAUUAGCAUGGCCCCUGCGUGAGGAUGGCAUGGAAAUUCGUGAAGUGUUCCAUAUUUUG
rnacentral:snRNA from 1 species